rnacentral:rRNA from 1 species
UUGGAGGGCAAGUCUGGUGCCAGCAGCCGCGGUAAUUCCAGCUCCAAUAGCGUAUAUUAAAGUUGUUGCAGUUAAAAAGCUCGUAGUUGAACUUCGGGGUCUACCCAUUGGUCAGGCUUAAUUGUCUGUACUGGUGAGAUGGAUCUCUACCUUCUGAGGAACUUUUAUGCCAUUUAUUUGGUGUGAUUGGAAAUCAGGACUGUUACUUUGAAAAAAUUAGAGUGUUUAAAGCAGGC